rnacentral:tRNA from 1 species
UUAAUAGAAUCCAAACACUAGAGGAAUACCACUGUUAAUGGUAAUAUUAAGAUAUUUCUUCUAUUAAA